UCACAGUUCAAUGUCUCUAGAUUAUAGGCGUUAUGAGGACAGAGUACUGGUUUACAGUACAAAAUUCCUGGGACAUAGAACACUGCCCAGCACAAAUAAUGAUUUGAUCAAUAAUUGUUGAAGGAAUAGACUAAAUGAAGGAACUGACAACUCAAGGGAAAGAGUAAUGACUCCAUGAAAGAGCCAAAAAAGAAGAAAAAAAGUGUUAUGUUGCUAGCUUGCCAGAUGAGGAGGAAAACAAAUGGUAUUCCAACUCAACGAAUGAGGAAACAAAACCUCAGAGAGGUUAAUGACUACAUAUAGAUCUAGACCUGUGUGACCUUCCCAACACCCAGGAGAGACAGACACAGUCACAUCCCCACUUACAGAUGAAGACUUCAAGACGCAGAGCGGUGGAGGGACUUGCCCGAGUCCUGGAGCUGGGAGAACUCCCGAGACCCUGGGAUGGUGGCAUGGCCCCUGCACCUCCGCUGCCUCCCCCAUGGUGAAAGUACAGCACAGGCGGGGCUGCGAGAGAGCAGCGGAGAGAUUAUGCAGUAGCUAUCUUUGGAGGCGUCACUGCCCACGGUGUUUUUAGGAUGAAUAAUUGCUUGAAUUCCUCAAGGCUUUAUAAAUAGAUGGAGAGGUAAUUAUACACAGCAGGACAAAAUUGGCUGACUUUUUCUAAUCCUUAUUGCAGUGGCCUUCCCCUAGGAAAGCACAACAGGGCCCUCAAGUCACCAGGCCUCACUAGGCCUGCGUCCUCACUGUGCGUCCUUCGCUGAACAAGCCGACCCAGGCUGGCCUCACCCUCGACUUUUGUGUUCUUUCUUUGCAACAUCAGGUUGUUUUUUUUUUUCUUUCUUUCUGUAUUCCUUUUUAUUUUGCCUCUCUGCUAUAUGUUGUGUUCUGCCGAGAAAUUCCAAGCCUAUGCCCUGGGAUAAAACAUUAGGUUUUCUGUCUGCGUCUUGUGCGCUUUACAAAAAAUGGAGUAUCAACGUGUUGAAAGGAAAUAAUAUUGUUGUCAGAGCACCCUGGACAUCUCUCAGCCUCA
rnacentral:lncRNA from 1 species